GAGGUUCUCUCUCUGUGUCUUUCUGACUGUCUGUCUCGGUUCUUUGUUUCUCGGCAUGGCAACAGUUGUGGAUGCUGCCUGCGUGGCCAGGGCUCCUAGUAGCACUGACCUGCAAGGCUGCAUACAGAAGGGCAGCAUCUGCCCCACCUCCCAGAGCUUCGCCAGCAAAGGCCAAAUCAAACAGCGGCCCAGAGCAGAGGGCUGGCCAGCUCUACAGAGCCAGCAAACACCAGAGGGAAAUCACCCUGGAUCCAUAUCUUCUAACCUUUGCCUCUGUGAGCAUGUUUGGGAAGGAGACAUCUAUGAGAUUGCAGGAGCCAAUUCAGGCUACAUGCUUAUAGCUGCAAUUGAAAAAUUAGGCUAGAAUGCAGGGCCUCCCUGAAGAUAUUUCUGAAAAUCAUGUACUUCCUUUAAGGGAUUUACAAAUCUGGAGUCCUUCCAAAACAGGACAAGUAAGACAUGAGCAGUGACUUUCUACUCUCCAUCCAGCAGCCAACAAUAGACUUCGUCAUUCAGAUGGAGCUGCAGAGGUACAGACCUGAGAGAGCUGGAAGUCAUAGAG
ensembl:lncRNA novel transcript, antisense to EFCAB4B